ACUUGGAUCUUAAUUGUACUCUUUCCACAGAUGAUUUCCCCCUCCAGUUGUUACAUUCCACAUGUUAUGUAACAGUGUCUACUGUAUCCAAAGCAGCCAUGAGGGUCACUAAUUCUAUGUCUUGAUGCUAAUCAAGACUGAAAAUGGUAGGACCAAACCACUAAAGUGACAUGUAAGCUCUCUGUAGGCCUGGUUGUCAGAUGCAGCUCUACUGACUUCAGUUGGAGUGGUGUCCCAGCUCACCAUAUGAAAAUGGAGUCCAAAAUGCACAUUCGGGGCCUCAAGCAGAUUUCUGCCACGCUCUUCAGUCCCAGUGAAGUCAAAUACAGUUAUAAUCCUGUAGCAUAAAUAAACUAAAAAUGCUAUGUA